rnacentral:rRNA from 1 species
UACGGAGGAUGCAAGCGUUAUCCGGAAUGAUUGGGCGUAAAGCGUCCGCAGGUGGCUGUGUAAGUCUGCUGUCAAAGAGCGAAGCUCAACUUCGUAAAGGCAGUGGAAACUACACGGCUAGAGUGCGUUCGGGGCAGAGGGAAUUCCUGGUGUAGCGGUGAAAUUCGUAGAUAUCAGGAGGAACACCAGUGGCGAAGGCGGCUUCCUGGACACCAACUGACGCUGAGACGCGAAAGCGUGGGGAGCAAACAGG